rnacentral:tRNA from 1 species
GUUUUGGUGACUGAGAAUAAGUGAUAGAUUUUUAAUCUAUAAACAGGACAAAGAAUAAAGGUCCUUCAAAACAC